GCGUGAGUGAUGAAGUUUCGGAUCGUAAAACUCUGUGUUAGGGAAGAACAAGUACCGUCGAAUAGGGCGGUACCUUGACGGUACCUAACCAGAAAGCCACGGCUAACUACGUGCCAGCAGCCGCGGUAAUACGUAGGUGGCAAGCGUUGUCCGGAAUUAUUGGGCGUAAAGCGCGCGCAGGCGGUUUCUUAAGUCUGAUGUGAAAGCCCCCGGCUCAACCGGGGAGGGUCAUUGGAAACUGGGGAACUUGAGUGCAGAAGAGGAGAGUGGAAUUCCACGUGUAGCGGUGAAAUGCGUAGAGAUGUGGAGGAACACCAGUGGCGAAGGCGACUCUCUGGUCUGUAACUGACGCUGAGGCGCGAAAGCGUGGGGAGCGAACAGGAUUAGAUACCCUGGUAGUCCACGCCGUAAACGAUGAGUGCUAAGUGUUAGAGGGUUUCCGCCCUUUAGUGCUGCAGCAAACGCAUUAAGCACUCCGCCUGGGGAGUACGGUCGCAAGACUGAAACUCAAAGGAAUUGACGGGGGCCCGCACAAGCGGUGGAGCAUGUGGUUUAAUUCGAAGCAACGCGAAGAACCUUACCAGGUCUUGACAUCCUCUGACAACCCUAGAGAUAGGGCUUCCCCUUCGGGGG
rnacentral:rRNA from 1 species